rnacentral:lncRNA from 1 species
AUGAGACAGUGUUGGUCAGCCAACUCUGAGGAUGCCCAGGAAUUCAGGGACGUGGAGAGGACCAGUGAGACCCUGACCAAGGACUUCCACCAACAUUUGGUGGAGGGUGGGAAGGAGUCGUUGAACCCCUCCAAGCUAAGGGGCCUGAUCACCCAGCAGCUGCCCCACCUCAUGCUGAGCAACUGUGGGCUGGAAGAGAAAACUGCCAACUUGGGCAACUGUAACAACUCUAAACUGGAGUUUGGGAGUUUCUGGGAGCUGUUUGGAGAAGCAGCCAAGAGUGUGAAGCUGGAAAACACUGUCCAGGGGAGUUGA